UUCUGCUCCAUGGGACACUAAAUAGCCGCAGUACCCUGACUGUGCAAAGGUAGCAUAAUCAUUUGACUUAUAAUUGAUGUCUGGUAUGAAUGAACGCACGGGUAAUAGCUGUCUUAAUAUGGUUAUUUGAAUUUAUUUAUCAGGUGCAAAUACCUGAAAUAUUAAAUUAGACGAGAAGACCCUAGAAGCUUUGAAUUUUGUUGGGGCGACAGAAUCACACAAAACUGAUUUUAUAAUACAUGCCGCGUGGAUGAUAGAUUAAGCUACUCUAGGGAUAACAGCAUAAUUUUUAAUAGUUUGUGACCUCGAUGUUGGACUAGGUAAAAUAAUUUUUAGAAGGCAUUAUUUUUUGCUCUGUUCGAGCAAUAUCACCUACGUGAUCUGAGUUCAGACCGGA
rnacentral:rRNA from 1 species